rfam:Triticum urartu cultivar G1812 contig805739, whole genome shotgun sequence.
AAACUACUCCCUCCGUUCUAAAAUACUUGACUUCCAUUGGAUGUACCUAUGUAUUAAAACAUGUCUAGAUACAUCUAUAUUUUGACAAAUGGGAGGCAUGUAUUGUGGAACGGAGGGAGUAGAUC